AUACGGAGGGUGCAAGCGUUAAUCGGAAUUACUGGGCGUAAAGCGCGCGUAGGCGGACAUUUAAGUCUCAUGUGAGAGCCCUGGGCUCAACCUGGGAACUGCAUGGGAUACUGGGUAUCUAGAAUACAGUAGAGGGUAGUGGAAUUUCAGGUGUAGCGGUGAAAUGCGUAGAGAUUUGAAGGAACAUCAGUGGCGAAGGCGACUACCUGGACUGAUAUUGACGCUGAGGUGCGAAAGCGUGGGGAGCAAACGGGAUUAGAAACCCUGUAGUCC
rnacentral:rRNA from 1 species